GUGACACUGGUGACAGAUUUUCUUUAAAGGUUGCUGUAGAAGUUAUGCCAUUAACUCUCUUGUGAGCAGUACUGGUGUGAGCAGUCUGUAAUGGCAGCCGUCAUUUAGAUGUAUGAGCAGCACCAUUAAUUUACAGUACAGCAGCAAGAUGCUUUGGAAAAAUCCAGAUAUACGACAUCCAGUGAUUGCCCCUAGUCCAGUUGAGCUCACCUCCUCAUAAAAGCUGAUCAGCUGCCAAGCUCUAUAUUCACAUUCUGAAAGACGACAUUCAGCUCGCUCACAACAGAUAUGUUGUGCAUGUGCGUGUUUACGUGGGGAGGGACAUACCUGAAAUAUAGACGCAGAACAGUCAGCUCCAAACAACUGUAUGACCUGAAUGGACCCAGCGAUGCAGCAGACCUUACAUCAACCCAGUCAGAAAGAGAUAGUGCCGUAUGCAGGUUCACUGCCUUCAAUGGGUUUCCUUGUUUCCACAGUGAGCUAAAAUAAAUAGAAAUGUUAAAAGACAUA